rnacentral:rRNA from 1 species
UGGGGGAUAUUGCACAAUGGGCGAAAGCCUGAUGCAGCGACGCCGCGUGGGGGAUGAAGGCUUUCGGGUUGUAAACCUCUUUCGCUAUCGAACAAUGCCCGCUUAGGGUGGGUUGAGGGAGGUGGAGAAGAAGCGCCGGCUAACUACGUGCCAGCAGCCGCGGUAAUACGUAGGGCGCGAGCGUUGUCCGGAAUUAUUGGGCGUAAAGGGCUUGUAGGCGGCUUGUUGCGCCUGCUGUGAAAACGCGGGGCUUAACUUCGCGCGUGCAGUGGGUACGGGCAGGCUUGAGUGUGGUAGGGGUGACUGGAAUUCCAGGUGUAGCGGUGGAAUGCGCAGAUAUCUGGAGGAACACCGAUGGCGAAGGCAGGUCACUGGGCCAUUACUGACGCUGAGGAGCGAAAGCAUGGGUAGCGAACAGG